rnacentral:snRNA from 1 species
AAUGGCUAAGUCUCAUCCU